rnacentral:rRNA from 1 species
UACGUAGGGGGCGAGCGUUGUCCGGAAUUAUUGGGCGUAAAGAGCUCGUAGGCGGCUUAGUAAGUCGGCGGUGAAAUACCGAGGCUCAACCUCGGCACUGCCGUCGAUACUGCUAUGGCUAGAGUUUGGUAGAGGAGAACGGAAUUCCCGGUGUAGCGGUAGAAUGCGCAGAUAUCGGGAGGAACACCCGUAGCGAAGGCGGUUCUCUGGGCCAAUACUGACGCUGAGGAGCGAAAGCGUGGGGAGCGAACAGG